GUUCUUUCCCUUUGUUCUACAUCACUUAGCUUAGUUUAAGUUCAAUCUAAAGUCAGGUUGAGCUUGGCUUAUUCAUUGUCAUACAAGCUUUCUGGCAACUUGAGAUCACUGACAUAAUCCAGAAGGCUGAGAAAGGCAUGGGUGAGCACCAAGUGGUUGAGUGCUAACUAGAUUCCCCAUUCUCAUUACAAUUAUAAUCACCACCAUUACAACAAGUUCAAAAAGGACAUUAAAUAUUCAAGUAGCAUGCAUCAAUUCUUAGUUUUUUUACUACAACAUAAACAAUCCAACAUAGGAAUAUUCACAAUUCAUUUGAAGCUUUGUCAACAACAGAUGAACAAGUGGACAUUUCUUUGCAAGUUAAACUUAGUGAUGUAGUCAAGAAAAACUAGAUUUAGGAAUUAAGAUCUUUAAUUCAGAUUU
rnacentral:misc_RNA from 1 species